rnacentral:sRNA from 1 species
GUUUGCACUUGUCGGGGAAGGGUGAGAACCUUCGAUUAAGGUUCGACUCGAGCGAAAGCGACCGCCCGUUGCCAACUGCAACGGCCCGAAGGGUGCGGAGCGAGCCGCCGAGUA